AGUGAACGCUGGCGGUAGGCCUAACACAUGCAAGUCGAACGGCAGCACAGUAAGAGCUUGCUCUUACGGGUGUCGAGUGUCGGACGGGUGAGGAAUACAUCGGAAUCUACUUUUUCGUGGGGGAUAACGUAGGGUAACUUACGCUAAUACCGCAUACGACCUACUGGUGAAAGCAGGGGAUCUUCUGACCUUGCGCGAUUGAAUGAGCCUAUGUCGGAUUAGCUAGUUGGCGGGGUAAAGGCCCACCAAGGCGACGAUCCGUAGCUGGUCUGAGAGGAUGAACAGACACACUGGAACUGAGAAACGGUACAGACUCCUACGGGAGGCAGCAGUGGGGAAUAUUGGACAAUGGGCGAAAGCCUGAUCCAGCCAUACCGCGUGGGUGAAGAAGGACUUAGGGUUGUAAAGCCAUUUUGUUGGGAAAGAAAAGAAGCAGGUUAAUACCCCGCUGUUCUGACGGUACCCAAAGAAUAAGCACCGGCUAACUUCGUG
rnacentral:rRNA from 1 species